UACGUAGGGUGCAAGCGUUAAUCGGAAUUACUGGGCGUAAAGCGUGCGCAGGCGGUUUUGUAAGCCAGAUGUGAAAUCCCCGGGCUCAACCUGGGAAUGGCAUUUGGGACUGCAAGGCUGGAGUACGGCAGAGGAGACUGGAAUUCCUGGUGUAGCAGUGAAAUGCGUAGAGAUCAGGAGGAACACCAAAGGCGAAGGCAGUGUCCUGGGGGAGUACCUGACGCUCAGGUGCGAAAGCCAGGGGGAGCGAACGGG
rnacentral:rRNA from 1 species